CUGAAAUUCUUCAGGGGUAAAGGGUUUUGAGCUUGGAAUUCUUCAGGGGUAAAGUGUUUUGAGCUUGGAAUUCUUCAGGGGUAAAGUGUUUUGAGUUUGGAAUUCUUCAGGGGUAAAUGGUUUUGAGCUUGGAAUUCUUCAGGGGUAAAGGGUUUUGAGCUUGGAAUUCUUCAGGGGUGAAGAGGUUUGAGAUUGAAAUUUUUCAGAGCUUGGAAUUCUUCAGGGGUAAAAGGUUUUGAGCUUGAAAUUCUUCAGGGGUAAAGGGCUUUGAGCCUGGAAUUCUUUAGGGUGAAGGGUUUUGAGCUUGGAAUUCUUCAGGGGUAAAAGGUUUUGAGCUUGGAAUUCCUCAGGGGUAAAGGGUUUUGAGCUUGGAAUUUUGGAAUUCUUCAGGGGUAAAAGGUUUUGAGCUUGGAAUUCUUCAGGGGUAAAGAGUUUUGAGCUUGGAAUUUUGGAAUUCUUCAGGGGUAAACAGUUUUGAGCUUGGAAUUCUUCAGGGGUAUGACAAUGAAAAAC